rnacentral:snRNA from 1 species
AGAUUACGGACUUCGCCUUAGAAC